rnacentral:rRNA from 1 species
UACGUAGGGUGCAAGCGUUGUCCGGAAUUAUUGGGCGUAAAGAGCUCGUAGGCGGUCUGUCGCGUCGGCUGUGAAAACCUGAGGCUCAACCUCGGGCCUGCAGUCGAUACGGGCAGACUAGAGUUCGGUAGGGGAGACUGGAAUUCCUGGUGUAGCGGUGGAAUGCGCAGAUAUCAGGAGGAACACCGGUGGCGAAGGCGGGUCUCUGGGCCGAAACUGACACUGAGGAGCGAAAGCGUGGGGA